GAUGAACGCUAGCGGCAGGCUUAAUACAUGCAAGUCGAGGGGUAGCAAGAUUGUAGCAAUACAAUUGUUGACGACCGGCAAACGGGUGCGGAACACGUACACAACCUUCCUACAAGUGGGGAAUAGCCCAGAGAAAUUUGGAUUAAUACCCCGUAACAUAGCGAUGUGGCAUCACAUUGCUAUUAUAGCUUCGGCGCUUGUUGAUGGGUGUGCGGCUGAUUAGAUAGUUGGCGGGGUAACGGCCCACCAAGUCUACGAUCAGUAGCUGAUGUGAGAGCAUGAUCAGCAACACGGGAACUGAGACACGGGCCCGACUCCUACGGGAGGCAGCAGUAAGGAAUAUUGGACGAUGGACGCAAGUCUGAUCCAGCCAUGCCGCGUGAAGGAUUAAGGUCCUCUGGAUUGUAAACUUCUUUUAUAAGGGACGAAAAAAGGUCUUUCUAGAUCGCCUGACGGUACCUUAUGAAUAGGCACCGGCUAACUCCGUGCCAGCCGCCGCCGUAAAAC
rnacentral:rRNA from 1 species